rnacentral:rRNA from 1 species
AUUGAACGCUGGCGGCAGGCCUAACACAUGCAAGUCGAACGAGUGGCGGACGGGUGAGUAAUGUCUGGGAAACUGCCUGAUGGAGGGGGAUAACUACUGGAAACGGUAGCUACUACCGCAUACCAUCAGAUGUGCCCAGAUGGGGUUAGCUAGUAGGUGGGGUAACGGCUCACCUAGGCGACGAUCCCUAGCUGGUCUGAUAGGAUGACCAGCCACACUGGAACUGAGAUACGGUCCAGACUCCUACGGGAGGCAGCAGUGGGGAAUAGUGCACAAUGGGCGAAAGCCUGAUGCAGCCAUGCCGCGUGUAUGAAGAAGGCCUUCGGGUUGUAAAGUACUUGCAGCGGGGAGGCGUUACCCGCAGAAGAAGCACCGGCUAACUCCGUGCCAGCAGCCGCGGUAAUAC